AGGCAGAGUGAAGACAACCAUCUACAAGCCAAGGAGAGAAGCCUCCGAAGAUAUCGACCCUGCUGAAACCUUGAUCUUAGGCUCUAGCCUCUAGAACUUUGAGAAUGUAAGUUUCUGUUGCUAAGCCACCCAGUCUGUGGUCCUUUGUUAUGGCAGCCCUGAGAAAACAUAAUGUAUACCCUUAGGCUAUGUCUAAUUUCCCAGAGGAAUGACCCAGGAAGUCUUAGAACCUGCCAAGGAAGGGUAUGCAGAGUUUUGCAGUGCCUUUUACAUGCUGUGUAAAUCCAAUGCCCAUGCCACAUUCCUUUUCCUUGAUAUAAAGGCAACUUGAAGAUGGUAUACUAUUGAUAAGGGGUCACACGUACCCUCCACUGAUUUCUCUAUGUAGCCAUCCAAUGAACAGUCACUACACAAGAACUCCAUUGGCUCUGUUGGAUGACAUGCUAAGAACAGGAUGGACACCAAAGAGUAAAGCUCAACAGAUCCAGAUCUAAAGUAGCAAACAAGCCAGGGGUAGAGACUUCAAAUCCUAAACAGUAAGGCAAGGGUUCCACAGACAUAAAAUAUCACAAACAUAAGUCUUUAGAAGCAACUUUUGAUUCUGUACCAAGAAAAUGACAUGGA
rnacentral:lncRNA from 1 species